rnacentral:rRNA from 1 species
UACGUAGGGUCCGAGCGUUGUCCGGAAUUACUGGGCGUAAAGAGCUCGUAGGUGGUUUGUCGCGUUGUUCGUGAAAACCUGAGGCUUAACCUUGGGCGUGCGGGCGAUACGGGCAGUCUGGAGUACUGCAGGGGAGACUGGAAUUCCUGGUGUAGCGGUGGAAUGCGCAGAUAUCAGGAGGAACACCGGUGGCGAAGGCGGAUCUCUGGGCCUUACCUGACGCUGAGGCGCGAAAGCUAGGGGAGCGAACAGG